ensembl:snoRNA
UGCUUGUAACACACCCAAAGGAAUCUGGGUUCACUGAGACAAGGGGCAUAAAACUUGUGGCCUUCCUAUGACCAAAUACUCUCUACAU